rnacentral:misc_RNA from 1 species
GGGAGAUUGGGAUUCUAGCAAUGCAGAGUCUUUAAUCAGAUAUACGGUUAGCAGAGGUUAUAAUAUCCACGGCUGGGAGCUUGGAAAUGAAUUGAAUGGAAACGGAAUAGGUCCAGCUAUUUCAGCCGAUCAGUACGCUUGUGAUAUUAUAGCUCUUCAAAAAUUAGUGCAAGAUAUAUAUAAAGGGAAGGAUGUUAUGCCAUUAAUCCUUGCACCAGGAGGAAUAUUUGAUGCUAUUUGGUUUCCGAAAUUUAUAAAUAAAGCAUCUAAUUCUCUUCAAGUAGUUACACAUCACAUUUACAGUGUUGGUGGAGGCGACGACACCAACCUAGUUCAGAAAAUACUUGAACCUUCUCAUCUGGAUGAAGAAUCCAAAUACUUGCAAAAUCUUCAAGGCGUUCUCCGAAACUCUGGAACUUCAGCUGUAGCAUGGGUUGGUGAAAGUGGAGGAGUUUAUAACAGUGGUCGCAAUCUUGUUUCGAAU